AGCGAACGCUGGCGGCAGGCCUAACACAUGCAAGUCGAACGGACCCUUCGGGGUUAGUGGCGGACGGGUGAGUAACACGUGGGAACGUGCCUUUAGGUUCGGAAUAGCUCCUGGAAACGGGUGGUAAUGCCGAAUGUGCCCUUCGGGGAAAGAUUUAUCGCCUUUAGAGCGGCCCGCGUCUGAUUAGCUAGUUGGUGGGGUAAUGGCCCACCAAGGCUACGAUCAGUAGCUGGUCUGAGAGGAUGACCAGCCACAUUGGGACUGAGACACGGCCCAAACUCCUACGGGAGGCAGCAGUGGGGAAGUCUUGCGCAAUGGGCGAAAGCCUGACGCAGCCAUGCCGCGUGUAUGAUGAAGGUCUUAGGAUUGUAAAAUACUUUCACCGGUGAAGAUAAUAGACUGUAGCCGGAGAAGAAGCCCCGGCUAACUUCGUGCCAGCAG
rnacentral:rRNA from 1 species